rnacentral:piRNA from 1 species
AGGAAUUGGAGUUAGACAUGUUUGU